GAUGAACGCUGGCGGCGUGCCUAAUACAUGCAAGUCGAGCGAACGGACGAGAAGCUUGCUUCUCUGAUGUUAGCGGCGGACGGGUGAGUAACACGUGUAUAACCUACCUAUAAGACUGGGAUAACUUCGGGAAACCGUAGCUAAUACCGGAUAAUAUUUUGAACCGCAUGGUUCAAAAGUGAAAGACGGUCUUGCUGUCACUUAUAGAUGGAUCCGCGCUGCAUUAGCUAGUUGGUAAGGUAACGGCUUACCAAGGCAACGAUGCAUAGCCGACCUGAGAGGGUGGUCGGCCAGCCUGGAACUGAGACACGGUACAGACUCCUACGGGAGGCAGCAGUAGGGAAUCUUACGCGAUGGGCGAGAGCCUGACGGAGCAACGCCGCGUGAGUGAUGAAGGUCUUAGGAUCGUAAAACUCUGUUAUUAGGGAAGAACAUAUGUGUAAGUAACUGUGCGCAUCUUGACGGUACCUAAUCAGAAAGCCACGGCUAACUACGUG
rnacentral:rRNA from 1 species